AUACGUAGGUGGCGAGCGUUGUCUGGAUUUACUGGGUGUAAAGGGCGCGUAGGCGGGGCGGCAAGUCCGAUGUGAAAUCCCGCGGCUCAACCGUGGAACCGCAUCGGAAACUGUCGUCCUUGAGUAUCGGAGGGGAAAGCGGAAUUCCUAGUGUAGCGGUGAAAUGCGUAGAUAUUAGGAGGAACACCGGUGGCGAAGGCGGCUUUCUGGCCGAAAACUGACGCUGAGGCGCGAAAGCGUGGGGAGCAAACAGGAUUAGAUACCCUGGUAGUCCACGCCGUAAACGAUGGAUACUAGGUGUGGGAGGUAUCGACCCCUUCCGUGCCGUCGUAAACACAUUAAGUAUCCCACCUGGGGAGUACGGCCGCAAGGCUGAA
rnacentral:rRNA from 1 species